GGACCCGAUUCAGCAGUACAUAUACUAUAAUUUGAAACGACACAGAGGAGAUUAGCACGACCCCUUGAGCAAGGAUGACAAGCAAAAUCGUGAAGCGUUCCACAUAUUC
rnacentral:snRNA from 1 species